rnacentral:rRNA from 1 species
GACGAACCGUGCAAACGUUGUUCGGAAUCACUGGGCUUAAAGGGCGCGUAGGCGGUUCGCCAAGUCUGGGGUGAAAUCUUUCGGCUCAACCGGAAAAUUGCCUGGGAUACUGGCGGGCUGGAGGGAGGUAGGGGUAGCGGGAACUUCCAGUGGAGCGGUGAAAUGCGUUGAUAUUGGAAGGAACGCCGGUGGCGAAAGCGCGUUACUGGACCUCUUCUGACGCUGAUGCGCGAAAGCUAGGGGAGCAAACGGG